CCAAAUUUGAAGUUCCUAAGUUAAAUAGUUCUCGAGUUCUGCUCCGGAAACGGAAGUGUGACACGCGAACGGACGGAAGGACGGAAGGACGGAAGGACGGAAGGACGGACACGCGGAGCGCUAUAUACCCCCGAAUACGUUGUCGCGGGAGUAUAAUAAAAAUGGCGACAAUCGUGUAUGAGAUUUGAAGAAGCUGCAGAAACAAUGACUCCUAAAUCUGAAUACUUAUUCAAACAUGGUGAAGAGAUGUUAAGUUAACGGCUCCUGCAGCUUCUUUGUCGACUGAAACUGAUCAGCGGUCGACAGAAGGAUGAAAGCACGAGUUCCUGGGUGAUUAAAGGAAAUACAACCUCAGAGAUGAAGCUGAACCAACAUGAGAUGAAGAGUUAAAGGACAGUGGGAGUGAGAAGCAGCAGGAGGCAUCGUACCAUAUGUACCUGUUUAAUGGCUCUUGGGUCCAAGUGCAGGUGAGAGGACGGCAGUCUUUGACCUUUGACCUUGAACUGCUUUACAUCAGCUGUAGAGAGAAAACAGAUGAGUUACUGUAGGUGGUUGUGUUGUACAGUAUUUAUACGCUCAUGAAGAAAUCAAAACGCAAAAACACAUUAAAACUCAGAAUAAUCAAAGUGUGACUCUUUGACCACGUAUUAAAUGACUGAUGUGUAA